rnacentral:misc_RNA from 1 species
AAGUCGUAACAAGGUUUCCGUAGGUGAACCUGCGGAAGGAUCAUUACUGAGUGAGGGCCUUCGGGUCCAACCUCCCACCCGUGUCUAUUGUACCAUGUUGCUUCGGCAGGCCCGCCUUAUGGCCGCCGGGGGCUAACCGCCCCGGGCCCGCGCCUGCCGAAGACCCCUCUGAACGCUGUCUGAAGAUUGCCGUCUGAGCGAAACAUAUAAAUUAUUUAAAACUUUCAACAACGGAUCUCUUGGUUCCG